GAUGAACGCUGGCGGCGUGCUUAACACAUGCAAGUCGAACGAUGAAGCCCAGCUUGCUGGGUGGAUUAGUGGCGAACGGGUGAGUAACACGUGAGUAACCUGCCCUUAACUCUGGGAUAAGCCUGGGAAACUGGGUCUAAUACCGGAUAGGAGCGUCCACCGCAUGGUGGGUGUUGGAAAGAUUUAUCGGUUUUGGAUGGACUCGCGGCCUAUCAGCUUGUUGGUGAGGUAAUGGCUCACCAAGGCGACGACGGGUAGCCGGCCUGAGAGGGUGACCGGCCACACUGGGACUGAGACACGGCCCAGACUCCUACGGGAGGCAGCAGUGGGGGAUAUUGCACAAUGGGCGCAAGCCUGAUGCAGCGACGCCGCGUGAGGGAUGACGGCCUUCGGGUUGUAAACCUCUUUCAGUAGGGAAGAAGCGAAAGCGACGGUACCUGCAGAAGAAGCACCGGCUAACUACGUG
rnacentral:rRNA from 1 species